rnacentral:rRNA from 1 species
UGAUCUGAGUUCAGACCGGAGUAAUCCAGGUCAGUUUCUAUCUAUAAGGAGCUUUUUCUAGUACGAAAGGAUCGAAAAAGCAUGGCCAAUACCAAAUGCAAGCCAUCACUACUAAUUUAUGCUUAAAACUUAAUUAACAACUAAUCCAAAAUUUUACCUCUAGAAAAGAGAA